AUUAAUAGGGUCCAAUUGGACAAGUUCAAUAUUUCUUCCUCGCAUGUUUCAUUCCAUUUUAAGAAUAAGAUUGAUUUGCUUUCUUCAUGAUUUAAACUUAGAUUGGUCGGCUUCCCAUGGAGUGGGGAAAAUGUAUUAUUCCUCUAGUCAAUUCUACUAAAGUUCAAGUUAAGGGUAGUGUGUAGUUGCAUCAGAAAACCUUCAUAUGAUGCAAGAAAUGAUGUUGUAUGUAAGGUAAGGUCUCCUGGUUACGUAUAUGUUCCAUGGAAAACUUGAUUCUUUUGCAUUCAUAUUACGUAAUAUUAAUGGUUAUCUGGUUGGCAGUUUUUAUAUUAACAGUUCUAUUUUCACGGAAGGUGAUAAAUCUUCUUGGAGGCUAUAUUCUUCAUAUAUUUAUUCUACAGUUCUCCCUCUCCUUUCACUCUUUAAAUAUCUGAGAAUCAAACCUUAUCAGAAGAAUGAUGGAGAUGAAGCUGCAGGAAUGUUGCCCAUAGUGAAAAGAAAAAAGGGUUGCCAACAGUGCCCCGAACAAAACAAAGAUGAACAAGUUCUUUCAGAGUUAUCCUUGAAUAAGAUUGUUGGUGCUGCAGAUACAUACAACUUGGAGGAGAUGGAACCCCCAAGUAAACUCAUGUGCGACUUAAGGCCAUACCAGAAGCAAGCUCUCUACUGUAUGUCAGAAUCAGAGAAGGGAAUUGAUGUUGAGAAAGCUACAGUAACUCUUCAUCCUUGCUGGGCCGCAUAUCGAAUAUGUGAUGAGUAUGUCUUUGGAAAUAGAAAAAAGCGCAACAAAGAGGGCUUCUUCAAUCUAUGUUAACAUCUUCUCUGGGGAAGCAACCACACAUUUUCCGACAGCAACACAGAUGGCAAGAGGGACAAUUCUAGCAGAUGCAAUGGGUCUUGGAAAAACUGUGAUGACAAUUGCAUUAGUACUUGCAAGAACCAGGCAAGGUUGCCCUGAUAGCCAAAAAAAAUGUCAGCAAAACAGCACAUGAUACUGGAGACAUAUGUGCGAAGAAAGACUCUUUUUCAAACCAAAGGGCAGCACUCUUAUCAUUUGUCCCAUGGCUUUGUUGAGCCAAUGGAAGGAUGAGCUUGAAACCCAUUCUAGUCCAGGAAGUAUUUCCAUUUUUGUUCACUAUGGAGGAGACAGAACAAAUGAGCCCAGGGUGAUUGCAGGAUAUGACGUGGUCUUGACAACGUAUGGGGUCUUAACUGCAGCUUAUAAGAGUGAUUCAGAGAGUAGCAUUUACCAUAGGGUCAAUUGGUACAGAGUGGUGUUAGAUGAAGCUCAUACCAUUAAGUCCUGGAAGACUUUAGUUGCUCAAGCGGCCUUUAAGUUGUCCUCACAUUGCAGAUGGUGCCUCACAGGAACCCAUAUCCAGAAUAAUUUGGAAGACCUUUACAGCCUAUUAUGCUUCUUGCGUGUCGAGCCAUGGUGCAACUGGUCAUGGUGGAACAAGUUGGUCCAUAAGCCAUACGAGAAUGGUGAUCCGAGAGGGCUGAAACUGAUAAAAUCUAUCUUACGGCCAUUGAUGUUGAGAAGAACAAAAGACACGAAAGACAAAGAAUGAAGAUGAUUAUUUCAGUUCCUUUGGUUUUUGCUUUUCUCCUUUUGCCUAAGCAAACAAACCAUAAAAUGUUCUUGAUGUUUGGUGCAUGCGGUUUUAGACCCAUUCUCGUUCUUCCUCCAACUGAUGUUCAAAUCGUUGAAUGUGAACAAUCAGAAGCAGAAUAUGAUUUUUAUGAAGCUCUUUUCAAGAAAUCCAAAGUCAAGUUUGACGAGUUUGUGGCUCAAGGCAAGGUUCUUCACAACUAUGCUAACAUCCUUGAGCUUCUCCUUCGGCUGAGGCAGUGUUGCAACCACCCUUUUCUUGUUAUGUUAUGAGUCGUGCUGAUUCACAACAGUAUGCAGACUUGGAUAAGUUGGCAAGGAGGUUUCUUGAAAAUGAAACUGAUCCUGACCAUCAAAAUCUCAAAGCAGCAUCCCGAACAUAUGUUGAAGAGGUUGUUGAGGACAUACGGAAGGGUGGAAACGCAGAGUGCCCUAUAUGCCUGGAGUCUGCAGAUGAUCCAGUGCUGACUCCCUGUGCUCAUAGGAUGUGCAGGGAAUGUCUGCUGUCCAGUUGGCGGACGCCAACGGCUGGGUUAUGCCCCAUUUGUCGGACAGUGUUAAAGAAAACAGAACUCAUUAUAUGCCCAACCGAAAACAAAUUCAGGGUUGAUGUUGAGAAGAACUGGAAGGAGUCCUCAAAGUUCUCAAAAUUGUGGGAGUGCUUGGAAAGGAUUCACGAGUCAGGAAGUGGGGAAAAGAGCAUUGUUUUCAGUCAGUGGACCUCAUUUUUUGAUCUUUUAGAGAUCCCAUUAAAGAGGAGAAGAAUUGGGUUCUUAAGGUUUGAUGGAAGCGUGGUGCAGAAACAGAGGGAGAAUAUUUUGAAGGAGUUCAAUGAGACCAAAGAGAAGACAGUAUUGUUGAUGUCCCUAAAGGCUGGUGGAGUAGGUCUGAAUUUAACCGCAGCGUCCAUCGUGUAUCUAAUGGAUCCAUGGUGGAACCCAGCAGUUGAAGAGCAAGCAAUCAUGCGAAUUCACCAAAUAGGGCAAAAGUGAAAAGUUUGUGUGAGGAGAUUCAUUGUUCAGGGGACUAUCGAGGAAAGGAUGCAACAAGUUCAGGCAAGGAAGCAGCGGAUGAUUGCGGGUGCUCUGACCGACGAAGAGGUCCGAUCAGCAAGAAUUGAAGAACUGAAGAUGCUGUUUAGAUAAUUUCUCAUUCAAGGAUAAUAGUUUUUUGUAUUUUACACAAAUGGGUAAAUUAUAUAUAUGAAUAUAUAUUGUUAUAUAGGAUAGAGAGGCCAGCAGGUGGCCUGCUAAUUGCUUCAUGUAGAGUUGUUAUGAAGCCUAAGUUUGUAAAUCUGGCAUUUAGGCAAUGACCCAAUGGAAGCUUCUUCUUCUCUUGUCCCUA